GUAAACGGCGGCCGUAACUAUAACGGUCCUAAGGUAGCGAAAUUCCUUGUCGGGUAAGUUCCGACCCGCACGAAAGGCGUAACGAUUUGGGCACUGUCUCAACGAGAGACUCGGUGAAAUCAUAGUACCUGUGAAGAUGCAGGUUACCCGCGACAGGACGGAAAGACCCCGUGGAGCUUUACUGUAGCCUGAUAUUGAAAUUCGGCACAGCUUGUACAGGAUAGGUAGGAGCCUUUGAAACGUGAGCGCUAGCUUACGUGGAGGCAUUGGUGGGAUACUACCCUAGCUGUGUUGGCUUUCUAACCCGCACCACUUAUCGUGGUGGGAGACAGUGUCAGGUGGGCAGUUUGACUGGGGCGGUCGCCUCCUAAAAGGUAACGGAGGCGCUCAAAGGUUCCCUCAGAAUGGUUGGAAAUCAUUCAUAGAGUGUAAAGGCAUAAGGGAGCUUGACUGCGAGACUUACAAGUCGAGCAGGGUCGAAAGACGGACUUAGUGAUCCGGUGGUUCCGCAUGGAAGGGCCAUCGCUCAACGGAUAAAAGCUACCCCGGGGAUAACAGGCUUAUCUCCCCCAAGAGUUCACAUCGACGGGGAGGUUUGGCACCUCGAUGUCGGCUCAUCGCAUCCAGGGGAUGUAGAUG
rnacentral:rRNA from 1 species